rnacentral:rRNA from 1 species
GAAAACUCCGGUGGUACGGGAUGAGCCCGCGUCCGAUUAGCCAGUUGGCGGGGUAACGGCCCACCAAAGCGACGAUCGGUAGCCGGCAUGAGAGGGUGGACGGCCACAUUGGGACUGAGACACGGCCCAAACUCCUACGGGAGGCAGCAGUGGGGAAUAUUGCACAAUGGGGGAAACCCUGAUGCAGCGACGCCGCGUGAGUGAAGAAGCGCCUCGGCGCGUAAAGCUCUGUCAGCAGGAACGAUAAUGACGGUACCUGAAGAAGAAGCCCCGGCUAACUACGUGCCAGCAGCCGCGGUAAUACGUAGGGGGCAAGCGUUAUCCGGAUUUACUGGGUGUAAAGGGAGCGUAGACGGCGGGGCAAGUCUGGAGUGAAAGGCCGGGGCCCAACCCCGGGACCGCUCUGGAAACUGCCCGGCUGGAGUGCGGGAGAGGUAAGCGGAAUUCCUAGUGUAGCGGUGAAAUGCGUAGAUAUUAGGAGGAACACCAGCGGCGAAGGCGGCUUACUGGACCGUGACUGACGUUGAGGCUCGAAAGCGUGGGGAGCAAACAGGAUUAGAUACCCUGGUAGUCCACGCCGUAAACGAUGAUCACUAGGUGUCGGGGGU